rnacentral:lncRNA from 1 species
UCCCUUGGUCUUGACAAACUCGUAUCAACCAACAGCAAGAUAACAUUCUCUUCUUUGAUGUCCUCCGAGCAUGCAUUCAUACAUCUUCCCAUCAUCAUCUUCUAUAAGAAUCUUCUUCUGGCCUACAGGAAUGAAGUUCUCAACAAUUUUUGUAAGAAUUGGCUGCAAGAAUGAAUUUGACAUUCAAUACGUAUAAAGGAAAAAUAAUAGAUUUUAAAAUGAAAUUAUCCAAUAACUUACCAUAGUUUGUCCUUUUAGAGUUGCAGCUUCAGUUAGCACUUUUUUCCAGCUCCUGCCAUCAUCAUCAAUAAGAAUAUUGUUUUAAGGGAACUCAUUUUGUUCCUAUCGA